UGGUGGGUAGUUUGACUGGGGCGGUCUCCUCCCAAAGCGUAACGGAGGAGCACGAAGGUUAGCUAAUCCUGGUCGGACAUCAGGAGGUUAGUGCAAUGGCAUAAGCUAGCUUGACUGCGAGCGUGACGGCGCGAGCAGGUGCGAAAGCAGGUCAUAGUGAUCCGGUGGUUCUGAAUGGAAGGGCCAUCGCUCAACGGAUAAAAGGUACUCCGGGGAUAACAGGCUGAUACCGCCCAAGAGUUCAUAUCGACGGCGGUGUUUGGCACCUCGAUGUCGGCUCAUCACAUCCUGGGGCUGAAGUAGGUCCCAAGGGUAUGGCUGUUCGCCAUUUAAAGUGGUACGCGAGCUGGGUUUAGAACGUCGUGAGACAGUUCGGUCCCUAUCUGCCGUGGGCGCUGGAGAAUUGAGGGGGGCUGCUCCUAGUACGAGAGGACCGGAGUGGACGCAUCACUGGUGUUCGGGUUGUCAUGCCAAUGGCACUGCCCGGUAGCUAAAUGCGGAAGAGAUAAGUGCUGAAAGCAUCUAAGCACGAAACUUGCCCCGAGAUGAGUUCUCCCUGAGACUUUAAGUCUCCUGAAGGAACGU
rnacentral:rRNA from 1 species